rnacentral:rRNA from 1 species
UACGUAGGGGCCGAGCGUUGUCCGGAGUUAUUGGGCGUAAAGCGCGCGCAGGCGGCCUCGCGCGCCCGACGUGAAAGCCCCCGGCUUAACCGGGGAGGGUCGUUGGGGACGGCGGGGCUUGAGGGCGGGAGAGGGCGGUGGAAUUCCCGGUGUAGUGGUGGAAAUGCGUAGAGAUCGGGAGGAACACCUGUGGCGAAGGCGGCCGUCUGGGCCGACCCUGACGCUGAGGCGCGGAAGGCGUGGGGAGCGAACGGG